rnacentral:misc_RNA from 1 species
GGCAUUUUCCAUGAGCAGGAUAAAAUCUCUAAGAUAAAUUGUCUUUACAAACUUAUUUACGCAAAAAAACAAAAUGGCAGUGCAAUUACCUAAAGAAAUGAAAAUGACAUGCGGAUGCCUUAAGAGAAAGGAUUGUAAAAGAAGCAAUUGUUUAACAACCUCAAGUUGACUAGCCUAGUGGACUUGAUAUCAAAAAGAAAAAUGCAUUAAUAACAUUCCUCCCACUAGACUGAUUAUCAAGGAAACAAAAUAGGAAAUGAGAG